rnacentral:rRNA from 1 species
CCUACUGGUGGCAUCAUUGAGGCAUCUUGGUCAAUGGGCGCGAGCCUGAACCAGCCAAGUAGCGUGAAGGAUGACUGCCCUACGGGUUGUAAACUUCUUUUAUAAAUUCCUCCCGUGCGGCCCGUGUGCCUUUUUGUAUGUACUUUAUGAAUAAGGAUCGGCUAACUCCGUGCCAGCCGCCGCGGUCCUACGGCGGCUCCGCGCGUUAUCCGGCUGGCUUGGGGGGCACGGGAGCGUCGCUGGUGUGUGAAGUCAGUUGUGAAAGUUUGCGGCUCAACCGUCACAUUGCAAUUGAUACUGGCAGUCUUGAGUACAGUUGAGGUAGGCGGAAUUCGUGGUGUAGCGGUGAAAUGCUUAGAUAUCACGAAGAACUCCGAUUGCGAAGGCAGCUUACUAAACUGCCACUGACAUUGAUGCUCGAAAGUGUGGGUAUCAAACAGGAUUAGAGACCCGAGUAGUC